AGGAGAUAUUUACAAAAAGCCAAUGAUUGCCUUGCAGUGGUAAUUGAAGCAAUUUGUCCUAAAGAAAAAGAGGCCUUUAUGGAAAAAAUUGUAGAGAGUCUUUGUAAAAGUACAGCAGUUGAAAGUAAUCAAUCAUCUAGAUCAUGUGGAGUGAAUGCUUCAAUACUAAAGGAAAUCUAUGACCGGGCAGAAACCUGGACUUUCAGAAGGCAGAUUUUAUCAAUUUUGGCUUUUGAAAACACUUACAGCCAAAUUAGACAGAUGAUACCUGGUUUAACCUCAUACAGGUAUUAUGCAGCAAAAAAACACAUUUCUGAAGUUGGAUGUGGCCUGCCUAUUCAAGAAAUGAAACAGACGAGAGAAAUAAUUGACCCAUGUCAAUAAGAACCAUUUCUUGACUUCAUAACGUCAUCACACAUUAUCAAAGACCUGCCAUUCUGUGAAAGGAAACUGAAAAUUUCUACUGGGGAGAUUAUUUGUACACCAAAUGUGAUCAGGGCUAUUGCUCAAACAAGUAUCAUCAGACAGUACAAGCAGUUGUGUGAAGAUGAAGAAAUCAGACCAUUGGACACAAGCACAAUGUAUAAGAUUCUGGAAGAGUGUGCUGCUUCUGUAAGACAUAGUGUGGAAGGGUUGGACUAUUAUGUGGCUGAAGGGGGAAGAGUGUUUAGAGAUAUUGAAGAAGUUUUGGAAGGAUUUGAAUGUGAAGAUGAGGAUAUCAAAAAGAUGAAGGCUGAUCUUCUUGAAGUUAAAAGAUACUUAAAGUCUGAUUAUAAGAUAAAAAAAAGCAGUUGAUGACAUUAGUGAGUGGAAAGGACACAUAUUAUGCUCAAGAAAUCAGGAAGAGGCAAGGAGGCAUACUCUGGAAAUCUUUGAAGAAAAAAAAAAUGUUAACCUAAAAUAACCAUAGACUUGGCAAUGAAGUUCGUGCCUCGCAAAUUCAGAGAAGGGCAAACAGAUUGGUUUGCAAAACGAGGCAUAAAUUGGCAUAUCAGUGUUUCACUGAUGAAAGGACCAUCUGCCACAUAUCAGUCUAUCACUCAUGUACAUUUGUUCUCUUCAACUGUUGCUGAAGAUUCAUCGGUCACAUCUUCUAUCAUUUCUGAUGUUGUCCAAGAUUUAAUUCAAAUGAACCAAGGUCUUCCAAAUGUACAUUUGUUUUCUGACAAUGCAGGCUGCUACAAAAGUACCAAUACCAUAGCUGCCUUACACCAAACAUUGAAAGGGACAAUCAAAACCUAUAACUUUUGUGAAGCACAAGAUUGGAAAGGACCUUGUGAUCGUAGAGCAUCACAUUUAAAGUCGAUCAUUAAGAGAUAUGUGAAUGAAGGAAAUGAUGUAGCAACAGCAGAACAGAUGAAAAGGGCUAUUGAUUUGAAAAAGAACUUAACUAUAGAGUUAAAGUGGUAACUCCUGUAAUUGACCUAGAUCCUGUUCAAAAUAUCAUUAAAUCAAUACCAGGAAUAUCACAGUUGCAUAAUUUAAAAUUUGAGGAUUCGUGUUUGAGAGUGUGGAAAGCAUAUGGAAUAGGAGCAGGGAAAUUAAUUCCAUGGACAGAUAUCUGUCAAGAUAUGAAUGUUUCCCAGUUGAAAACAGUUCAAAAUUGGUUGGAGAAAUCUUGCAAUGUAUUUUCUGCAGAUGAUAUGACAGAGGAAGAAGAAGUGGAAGAGUGUGAGCCACCAGCAAAGAAAGCAAAAUCUGAAGGAAAUAUUUACAGUUGUCUAUAGAGGGUUGUGACAGGUCGUUCAAAAAUAAUAGUGGUCUAGAACAAUCUCUUAGGAAAUUGUAAUUAUCAGUUGAAAAAGCAGUCAUUGAUGAACAGAUCAAAAUCAGAGUGAAGUGUUCAAUUGGAUAAACUGUUGAUAUUUCAUGUUCUACUACUUCUGAAACAGCAAAUGCAGCAAAAAUUGGUUGGGCUCUAAAAAUGAAGAAAAAGAAAACGAUUUUUAAUGUUGAACAAAAACAGUUCAUGCAAGACCAGUUUGAUAUAGGCAAACACACUGGCAGGAAGGUUGAUCCUUUUGAGGCAGCUAAGUUAAUGAUGGUGGAAGUAAAAAAUGGAGAGAGAUUGAGAAGAUUUAAGAAAUCUGAAUAUCUAACUGGCUCCCAGAUUUCUGGUUAUUUCUCUAGGCUGUCUCAAAAGGAUAGAAAAAUGUGUAAAGAGGACAUUAUAGUUUCUCAAAAUGAAGAUGACAAAUAUAACUUGAAAAUGUGUGUAAUUUAAAAAAUGGAGUCCUUGUAAAUGCAUGUUAUUAGUCCCCUUCUGGUGAAGUGCAAGGCAACUUUAGUUUUGCACUCGGUCCAUCUGUCUGUCUGUCUAUCUGUCAGUCUGGCACAUCAGUUUUCCACACUUUUUUCUUUAUGAUUGAAGACAAGGGGUACAAUCAAAAUCACGUGAUGGAUAUACAUACACCGGAAGAUACAGUCGAACUCGCCGCUUGAAAGGUUAGUAGUUGCAUUUUCUUGUUUUUAUCAAUUAAAUUUUGAUUAAUAAGUUGGCACACCGAAUUUCGGAUAGUAUGUAGUUUUAAAAUACACAAUUGUUUUUACUAGAAAGCGUGCAGUUAUUGCAAACACUUUGACACAGUUCCAAAUUUUCGACGAAUUUUUGUGUCGAAGUGUUAGCAUUAACUGCACGAUUUCCAGCAAGGAUAAAUGUGUAUUUCAAAACUAGAUAGUAUCCGACUUUCGGUGCACUACCUUAUUUAUUAAAUUUUAUUGAUGUUAACAAGUAAAUACGACUACUUACCUUUCAAGCGGUCUGCUCGACUGUUACUUCCGGUGUGUGUAUAUCCAUCACGUGAUUUUGAUUGUACCCCUUGGAAGAUAUUGAUUUGAUAUUUGGUAUAUUGUUUUAUCAUGACAAGUUACAGAUCAAAUUUGAAUUUUGUUCCGGUUUAUCGAUUUUCAGCAGAGUUAUGGUUUUGAACUUCAGUCAAAUAAUCAGUUUUCACCUUUUUAUGUUAUGUGUGAGGAUAAUGAUUUGAUAUUAGGUAUGUUGAUUUCUCAUUACUGAUCAAAUUCAAAUUUUGUUCUGGUCUGAUCAACUGAUGGUUUUGUUCAGAGUUGUGAUUCUUGAACUUAAAAAAAAUAAUUUAAAUAAUCAGUUUUCCACUCAUGCUUAAAAAUAUAAACCUUAUAUUUGAUAUGCAGUUUAUACCAUGACAAAUUAGAGAUCAAGUUUUAUUUUUGUUUCAUUACAAAGAAUUUUAAUUCGGUAGGGGACUAUGUACUGCCAUGCAAUUCACGCAGAAUGCUUGUUGGUUUAAUCAGAUUGCAAAUUUUAAAUGUGAAAUUAAUUUUUUAGUCAUUUUGUUAAAACCUAAUCAAAAUUAGGUUUAAUUUUUUGCACAUGAUUGAAUGUUAGUUAUUAUAUACAGGGAAGAAAUUGUUUAUUAGGCAAUACAUGUAAUUUAAUUUUGGAUGUAAGGCGUCUUCUGAUUGGCUGACGUUAUUUUGUUAUGAACUCAUAGACAUAAUUUAGUAAUUUGAUCAUGACAUCAUCAACGUUUUUUCAUGGUUUUCUACGGUUUAAAAUGGAAUUCAGAAUUAAAUUAUAAGAAAUAACUGUUAUUUUUUUUUCUUAUGCAAAAUAACAUAAAAAAAUGUGGUCCACUCUGAUAAAUAACCCGCUAUGCGCUUUUUUCAGUGUGCACCAAAUUUUUUAUGUUAUUUCUUCAUAGACAGAAAAAAUAUUAGUUAUUUCUUAGAUAUUUUAAUUCCUUCAUGGAAGUUUUUAACAAUGCUAUUUUACAAACUUUAAAUUAAAUGCCUUAAUCUUUUGAAGAAAUUUUACUUAUUAUAUGUAUGGGCAUUUCAUGCUUUCCUUGGCCCACUUGAAAAGUUAAAAGUCAGAAUCAUAUGAAUAAUGUAUAAGACAGACGAAUUUUUGGUUACACAUUUUAGACAAAUAUCAAAUGUUUGGUCACUUUGACCUACAUGUUUACAUAAAUAACCUAUGUAAUAUGUUGUCAAAUGUUUUAAAGUAAAUACAAGUCAGGAAAUUUUAAAUAUAUCUGACUUGUACAUUGUUAGCUUUAUGUGCAAAAAAAUAAAAUCAUAUACUCUUCUAA